UACAUAGACAUCCUCUUUUAUAAAUUUUUAAUGAUAAUUUUAAUGACGAUGAAGAAGAGUAUUUAUUUUUUACCUCAAGAAUUCAAUUCACAUGAAUUGAAUACCUAGUUCAUUGACAGUGGUUGUACUAGUCACAUGACUAAAUGCUUAUCAUUUUUUACCUCUAUUGACAAAACAAUUGAAUCGAAAGUCAAGAUGAGAAAUAGUGAAAUUGUGCAAGCCAAUGGAAAAGGAAUAAUUUCUAUUGCAACCAAGAAAGAUAUGAUAAUUGUUAGAGAUGUUCUUUACAUUCUAGAAUUGGAUCAAAAUGUUCUUAGUGUUCCACAAAUGCUAAGGAAUGGAUAUGAAGUUUCUUUUUAAGAGAAUUAUUGUUUUAUCAUAGAUGAACAUGGUUUACAGGUCUCAAAGAUUGAGAUGACCAAAAACAAUUUUUAUUUAAAAUUUGAUUUAGUUGAAGAUCAUGAUUUUAUUGCUAAAAUUGAUGAGAGUAAUGUAUUUGAUAUGACAAAUAUUAGCAAAUGAUAUUUAAAGAUAGGAGAGGAGUUAAAUUGAAUCACUAUUGUUAAAACAAUUGUUUUUAUAUGUUGUACAGCUUUUAUAAAGCUGUUUUUGACCCUAUUUGGCAAAAGGGUUUUAGGUACAUAGGCUGGCAACUUUUCUAAUGGUUAUACCUAUUUUCAUCUUUUGUAUGUAUAUAAAAUACCAGCUGAGUUUGAACUCAGCAGUCUUUUGGCCAAAACCAAAACCUUAAGUUGGUAUCAGAGCGGGUUAGAUCCCGCUCUGUCUCUCCGCUACUUUUUGUCAUCUCCGGCCACUGUCCGCCGUCGGCGGCCACCAUCCGCCGCUGCGUCCGCUGUCGUUCUCACUGGCAAACACGAGGUUUGGUGCGCCUUGAGGAGCCUAGUCCAACCCUGGAAGUGGCGUGCCCUAAUUCCCAGGCACGCUCCCUCACGCGCCGAUCCUCUCCAGUGCCCUGUCCGGCGCGUGAAUCUCACGCGCCACCCUCUGCUUGCCAGAAUCUUGUCGAACCACUCCCAGAAGCUUCGUCGGCCCCUUCCGUUCACGUUUCUACCCUCAGUUACCAAGAUUGACCCACUUAGAAGUGUGAGUAGUGGUGGUCACGUGUCUUCUUCUUCCUUGUUAAUGAAAUGGCCUCUUCUGGUACUCUUACCAUUACCACUGCGAAACUGAACUGGAAAAAUUAUUUAUCUUGGUCUGCUUCGGUGGAGUUGUGGUUUCUUGGUCAAGGAUAUCAUGACCAUUUGGAGAAGGAAGCUGUGAUAUUUCUACCGAACAUAAAUCUCAAUGGCAGAAACUUGACUUCUAACUAUGUGCGCACCUAUGGCAAUCAGUUGAACCUGAAGUGUUAGAGAUACUCGGGACAUUUAAGACAUGUUCAUUUUGGAAGGAAGCCCACAAUAUUUCUGCUAAUGACAUUCAACGUCUUUUCGAUGCAACUCAAAGAGUAGCCUCUCUCAAACAAACCAGCCAUGUUAUGGUUUCACAUGUAGCUAAGGCCAAGGCUGCAAUAGAAGAAUUGAAAAGAUUUCUUGUGGCAGAUUCACUAGAGGGUGUCAACAAAAAACUUGAUAAGUUAUACAUGGUUUUGAUUUUGAGGAGCUUACAUUCAGAUUUUGAUCAUGUACGUGAUCAAAUUUUGGCUGGUGAUCAAGUCCCUUCCAUGGACAACUUAGUCACUAGACUUCUUCGUGUUCCUACCUUGGUGGAAGAUGAAAAAAUAGCUGAAACUAUUGAAACUUCAACAAUGAUAGCAUCUCGUGGAAGAGGAGGACAUAGCAAUCAAGGAGGACGUGGUGGCAGAAGUGGACGUCCCCAAUGUACUUAUUGCAAAAGAAUGGGUCAUACACAAAAAAAUUGCUAUUCCUUGCAUGGUUUUCCUGACAAGGCAGCCUAUAUAUCAAAACCUGAAAAACCAGGUUCCAACUUUUCUGAAGAGGAGUAUCAAGAAUAUCUAAGGCUCAAAUCUGAAAAAUCUAACAGCCAAGCCCAAUCUUCUUCUAUGCCUAGUGUUUCAACAACAUGUAUCUCUCAAUCUGUGGAAGGUCAUGGUCCAUGGAUACUUGACUCAGUUGCUUCUGACCAUAUUUCUGGAACGUGGUACGGGUCGUCUGAUUGGCGAAGGACAUGAAUCACGAGGUCUCUAUUACCUAAAAACCAGUCCACCUGUAUCUUGUUUUGCAGCUGUUGGAGAUCAGCGCAUAUCAAUCAGAAUCUGUUGGAGAUCAGCAUAUAUCAAUAAGAAUAUUCAAUUCUGAUUUGUACAGAUUUAAUGUUAAUAAGAUCAAUUUUAUUUCCCCUCCUUUAAUUAUUUAGAUACAACAUUUAUAGGGAGAAUUAUUUCCCAGAUUUUUAGGGAUAGAUUAGUGUGCAGAUUUAUUCCCUUGUAUUCUAUUUAUACCACUUUUGUAUUUUUUCCAAAUCAGAGAAAUAUACAUUAUAUUGGGGUUGAACAUAGAACUUGAUGAAGUCCAGGGAAGAAUCCUUGGAACCAAACCUCUUAAAACAAUCCGAGAAGUAUUUUCGGAAGUGAGAAGAGAGGAGAGCAGGAGGAAAGUGAUGCUUGGAAAGUCAAGUGCAAUCCCAUCCAUUGAAGGCUCAGCAAUGGCAGCAAGGGGGAACCAGCCUUGUACAUCUCAAAAGAAAAAUCGGCCCUGGUGUGAUCAUUGCAAGAAACUGGGUCACACUAAAGACAACUGUUGGAUCAUUCAUGGCAGACCUUUAGAGGCAAAACAGACCAAAAACCUGGACAGCAGAGGCAACAUAGCUGAGGUAAAUUCUAACCCAUCUCCAUUCAGCAAGGAGCAAAUGGAAGCACUAUAGAAAAUUCUCCAGCAAACAAUUGGUACAGCUACAGUGGCACAAAAAGAUUUUGGAGUCGGGGAAGACGAUUGGCAAUGUUGAGAAUGUGCUGGACUCUACCUCCUCCAAGUUGAAGAGUCAAAAGCGGAACCCAAGGCUAACUCUUGUGCAACUGUACCGCUAAAUAGAAAAAAUUCUGUAAUGUUGUGGCAUUAUCGGUUAGGCCACCCAAAUUUUAUGUACUUGAAAAAAAUGUUUCCCGCAUUAUUAAAAAAAAAUCAAGAGUUUUUUCAAGGUGAAAUAUGCCAAUUGUCCAAACAUACCCGUAACUCCUACCUGCCUCAACCCUAUAAACCUUCUCAACCUUUCUCCCUAAUUCACAAUGAUAUAUGGGGACCAUCACGAGUAAACAAUGUCACUGGAUCAAGAUGGUCUGUCACCUUCAUUGACGAUCACACACGGGUCACUUGGGUUUUCCUAAUGAAGGAGAAAUCAGAAGUUGGCAGAAUAUUUGAGUUGUUUCAUACUAUGGUGGAAACACAAUUUCAAAGCAAAAUUAAGGUGCUUAGAAGUGACAACGGCCGAGAGUAUUAUCACUCUGCACUAAAUUCCUACCUUCAGAAACAUGGAAUCAUACAUCAGAGUUCAUGUGUAGAUACACAUCAGCAGAACGGAUUCGCCGAAAGAAAGAAUAGACAUCUCCUAGAAGUGACCAGAUCUCUCAUGUUAGCUACAAAUGUACCCAACCAAUUUUGGGGAGAAGCUGUCCUCUCUGCAACCUACCUUAUAAACAGAAUGCCCUCCCGAAUCCUCAACUUUAACACCCCUUAUUCUACUCUCCAAACCUCAUACCCUACGAGUCGUAUCCUUACAUCUAUUCCUUUGGAAAAUAUUCGGAUGUUCAGCCUUCAUCCACAACCUCAAUCCUCGUCGCAACAAACUUGACCCGAAAUCCAUCAAAUGCAUCUUUCUCGGCUACUCCCCCACCAAAAGGGGUACAAAUGCUAUUCACCCCAAAACAGGAAAUUCUACCACACCAUGGAUGUCACCUUUUUUGAGAAUCAACCUUAUUACCCAAAAGUUGGCAUUCAAGGGGAGCAGACUUAUCCAAUUGAAGUGGUAGAAUCCCAACUUUUGGGAUUUGAGCUAGCUGAAUCUGUCCCAAAUACAGAGCCAACCAAUAUUGCACCUACACAAGAGGAAAUUACAAUAGAAAAUGCAGAAAACGCAACAGAAUUUGCCCAAAAUGUAGAACCAGCCGAGACUGCACCUGUAGCAGAAACUGAACAGGAAAAUGCAGUAGAAAUUGCACCAGCUGAAGCUAGAGAGAGAAUUGCAUCUCAACAGAAUCAAAGCCCAGCCACACAAGGAGACAACUGGACGACAUACUUCAGGAAGAGAAGGAAGAUAGUAGAGUCCAGCACAGAUCCAAGGCAAAGCCAUGAAUCCAACCAAACUCCAGAAAAUGAGUUUUCCCAAGGUAAUAUCGUUCCUAAUCCUAAACCUAUUGAUGACAUUGACAUUCCUAUUGCCUUAAGAAAAGGGGUGAUAUCUUGCACUCAACACCCCAUUGAGAAAUAUGUGUCCUAUGGAAAAUUGUCACAGGGGUGUAGGUCUUUUGUGGCAGCUCUUGACAGCAAAAAUAUCCCAAGGAAUGUUCAAGAAGCACUCCAACAACCUGAAUGGGCAGCAGCUGUAAUAGAAGAAGUCCAAGCCUUGGUUAAAAAUGGCACGUGGGAAAUCACCACUCUACCGGAAGGAAAGAAAUCGAUUGGAUGCAAGUGGAUAUUCUCCAUCAAAUACAAUGCCGAUGGUAGUAUAAACCGGUACAAAGCUCGACUGGUGGCAAAAGGGUUUACCCAAUCAUAUGGAGUGGACUACGAAGAGACUUUUGCGCCGGUGGCCAAACUCAAUUCAAUUCGAGUCAUACUCUCUUUAGCUGCAAAUUUAGAUUGGCCACUCCAUCAACUAGACAUCAAGAAUGCCUUUCGAAACGGUGAACUUGAAGAAGAAGUCUAUAUGCAAAUUCCCCCGGGACUUGAGUCAUCCAGAACCUCAAGCAUGGUGUGCAAGCUCCGAAAAUCUCUAUAUAGCCUUAAACAAUCUCCGAGAGCGUGGUUUGAUAGAUUGACUCGAGUUGUCAAGGAAGACGGGUUCAACCAAUGCCAAUCAGAUCACACUAUGUUUGUCAAACACUCCGUGGAAGGGAAGGUAGCCUUGUUCAUUGUUUAUGUUGACGAUAUCGUUAUCACAGGAAACGAUUAUGAUCAAAUCAAGCAUCUGAAGGGAAUUUUGGCCAAGGAAUUUGAAGUCAAGGACUUGGGUCAGCUCAAAUAUUUUCUAGGGAUGGAAAUUGCUCGAACAAAGAAUGGUAUUUAUGUAUCACAAAGGAAAUAUACGUUGGACUUACUUCAAGAAACUAGCAUGCUUGGAUGCAAGGCAGCCAAUACUCCCAUUGAACCGGAAAAGAGAAGUGAAGAAGAAAGUCCACCAACUGAUAAAGAUAGAUAUCAAAGCCUAGUUGGGAAGCUAAUCUACCUAACUCACACUAGGCCUGACAUUGGUUUUGCUGUGAGCUUAGCUAGUCGCUAUACAUCUAAUCCAACUGAGGCCCACAUGAAAAUGGCGAACAGAAUCCUCCAAUAUCUCAAAGAUACACCGGGUCGAGGGCUCUACUUUAAAAAGAACUCAAACAAAAGCAUUGAAGUCUACACUGACUCAGAUUGGGCGGGAUGCCCCUCUGACAGAAAAUCAACUACAGGCUAUUGCUCCUUUGUGUGGGGAAACCUGGUGACUUGAAGAAGUAAGAAGCAACUUGUGGUGGCAAGGAGUAGUGCAGAAGCUGAAUUCAGAGCUAUGGCUCAAGGUAUCUGUGAAGGAAUCUGGCUUAAGAGGAUGCUGGAUGAAAUCAGAAUUCCCAUCAAUUACACUAUGAGGAUAUUAUGUGACAACAAGGUUGCCAUAAGCAUUGCGAAGAACCUAGUCCACCAUGAUAGGACAAAGCACGUGGAGAUUGACCGACACUUCAUUAAAGAAAAAAUUGACCACGAUAUUAUAAGUGUUGACCAUGUUCCAUCAUGCAGACAAACAGCAGACAUCCUAACAAAGGCUCUUCCAAGGAACACGUAUGAAAACAUUAGAUCCAAUCUGGGUAUGAUAGACAUCUACCACCCAGAUUGAGGGGGAGUGUUGGAGAUCAGCGCAUAUCAAUUAGAAUCUAUUGGAGAUCAGCAUAUAUCAAUCAGAAUAUUCAAUUCUGAUUUGUACAGAUUUAAUGUUAAUAAGAUCAAUUUUAUUUCCCCUCCUUUAAUUAUUUAGAUACAACAUUUAUAGGGAAAAUUAUUUCCCAGAUUUUUAGGGAUAGAUUAGUGUGCAGAUUUAUUCCCUUGUAUUCUAUUUAUACCACUUUUGUAUUUUUCCCAAAUUAGAGAUAUAUACAUUUAUUUUUCCGCAGCAACCUCAACACCAAAGCUUUUGCAUGACUGUUUGGGUCACCCAAGUUUAGCAAAAUUGAAGAUAAUGGUUCCUAGUCUCAAAUCACUUCCAGUUUUGAAAUGUGAAUCGUGUCAAUUAGGAAAACAUGUUAGGUCAUCAUUUCCUAAACAAACUGAACAAAGAUGUAACUCAGCUUUUUCUACCAUUCAUUCAGACAUUUAGGGACCAAGCCGUGUCACAUCUUUUGGUUUUAGAUAUUUUGUAACCUUCAUUGAUGAAUUCUCUCGAUGUACUUGGAUUUAUCUAAUGAAAGAUCGAUGUGAACUUUUAUCUAUAUUCAUGUCUUUCUUUAAUGAGAUUAGGAACCAAUUUGGCAAGAUAAUUAAAAUCUGACAAUGCUAUAGAAUAUCUCUACUGAACUUUUUUCCUUCUUAUCCUCACAAGGUAUUUUACAUCAAUCUAUAUGCCCUCACACACCACAACAAAAUGGCAUAGCAGAGAGGAAGAAUAGACAUCUUAUUGAAAUUGCACGCUCCCUAAUGUUUAACAUGAAUGUUCCCGUGCACCAUUGGGGAGAUGCAGUCCUCACUGCUUGUUUUUUAAUAAAUAAGAUGUCAUCUUCCUCUCUUGAAAAUCAUUUUCCUCACUCUAUCAUUUUUCCAAAUGACCCUUUGUUUCAUGUCUCUCCUAGGGUGUUUGGUUGUACUUGUUUUGUUCAUAAUGUUUCUCCAGGUUUAGACAGACUUUCUGCAAGGGCCAUUAAAUGUGUUUUUAUGGGAUAUUCUCGCCUUCAAAAGGGAUACAAAUGUUAUUCUCCAGCUACCAAGAGGUAUUACAUGUCUACUGAUGUUACUUUCUUUGAGGACAUACCUUUUUUUUCACCCUCCAUAGACAAUCCUGUUUCCAUUCAACAGGUUCUUCCUAUCCUAUUCUCUGAUCCAAUCAUGGUUUCCAAUCCAUCUGACACCAGCCAAGAUGAGGAUCAAUCUCAAUCUCAUACUCAUCAUUCAACUGAAGAUUUUCGUGAUUCUGAUCCUUCCCCAUCAACUUCCCAUACCACGAGUCUUUCAUCCUCCACGCCAUCCCAUGAUUCCAAUUUAGAUUGGCCCAUUGUUAUUCAAAAAGGUAUGGAUGAUGAAGAUAACGAUAACGUGCCACUACAUGAGAUGUUAGAUGACAAACUGAGAGUUCGCUAUUUCAAGGGAUAUCUUGCAUCAGUUGCUCAAGCUAUAAA